ensembl:lncRNA
GCCAAGACGAAUGAUCUGUCCGUUCUUGCAGCGAAAAGCCAGAAUCAGCGUCCUCUGUAACUCGAGAGAUCGAUGCAAUGUCUUUUUCUGGCCUAAGACAAAAAAAUAUCUCACCAGCACUCAUUUUAUUCUCUAUAAUAUAUUCUUCUAAUUGUUUUGUACUGAUUCGCUGGAGUGUUUUAAUGUAAAAGGCUGUAGUUUCAGUAUGUAGACCUUUUUCCCCAUGCCAGUGUUGAAGUCUCGAGCCGUCAGAGAGUCUGCUGCAAAUCAUUCAAUUUCACCAUUUACCAGCUCACAAAAAUCUGAAUUUAGCCGAUGGUGUGUUCUAAUGGGUGGAUUGUGUGCAAUCGCUGUAAUAUUUUAUUUUUAAAAGGUCUUAAACAGGAAUGAACUCGUUUGUUGUGAGGUCGUUGUGAAGCCCCGCGGUCUCGCGUUGUCAAAAGAGCUGACGCAAAUCGUUCAUUUUCAAACUUCAGCAGCUGAAAAACACCUACUUUUAGCUCUUGGUUUGUUCUAAUGGGUGGAUUGUGUGCAAUCGCUGUAAUAUUUUAUUUUUAUAAGGUCUUAAACAAGAAUAAAUUUGUUUCUUGUGAGCUCGUAGUGCGAGUGCAGGAGAAGCCGCGCCGUCUCGCGCUGUCAAAAGAGCUGACGCAAAUCGUUCAUUUUCAAACUUCAACAGCUGAAAAACACCCACUUUUAGCCCUUGGUUUGUUCUAAUGGGUGGAUUGUGUGCAAUCGCUGUAAUAUUUUAUUUUUAUAAGGUCUUAAACAAGAAUAAAUUCGUUUCUUGCGAGCUCGUUGUGUCACUGCACGAGAAGCCGCGCCGUCUCG